CUUUGUCGGCCUUUUUUGCCUCCGGGAUUUCAGGAGCGCCUCCGCGUCCCCCUUCGCUUUCUCCUCGAAAAGAUUCGGAUCCAAGCGCUCCUCGGCGGAUUAGGGGAAGGCUGGGAUCCUGCCAGAAAGGCGCCUUGAACCCACGCCCAAGUGCCGAAAAGGGCAGCGCUUUAGUGUCCCCGCUGAGAGGUUCGUAAGACCCUCUUACGGACAGUAGCCGCUCAUGGCGAGUGUCGGGGGUGAUACGGGAGGUGACAAGCUCAGCUUCGUUUGCAAACUGUUUCUUGCCUUUGACGAGAAGAGUUGGUGAAGACCUGAAGACAAGGAAAUGUGAUUGAACAUACUACGUUUUACCAGGCAGAGAGAAUGCUUGUAUUAGCCUGAAAGAGAGGAUACUGGCCAGUAUGAAAAAAUAUCUUCCAUGAUGGCAGCUUUAUAGGAAAACUGGUUUUGGAUUCUUGUAGACAAGCUGUAUUCAAGAACUGUUUAGCUUCUGGUGAUUUAGCACAAAGAGCUUUUGUUCUAUUUUUGGAAAAGGAUUCCACAAUGUGAACAUUCAAGUUACUGUAUUACAUUUCAUUGUGCAAUAAUAAUA